GAUGAACGCUGGCGGCGUGCCUAAUACAUGCAAGUCGAGCGAACAGAUGAGGAGCUUGCUCCUCUGACGUUAGCGGCGGACGGGUGAGUAACACGUGGAUAACCUACCUAUAAGACUGGGAUAACUUCGGGAAACCGGAGCUAAUACCGGAUAAUAUAUUGAACCGCAUGGUUCAAUAGUGAAAGACGGUUUUGCUGUCACUUAUAGAUGGAUCCGCGCCGCAUUAGCUAGUUGGUAAGGUAACGGCUUACCAAGGCAACGAUGCGUAGCCGACCUGAGAGGGUCAUCGGCCACACUGGAACUGAGGCACGGUCCAGACUCCUACGGGAGGCAGCAGUAGGGAAUCUUCCGCGAUGGGCGAAAGCCUGACGGAGCAACGCCGCGUGAGUGAUGAAGGUCUUCGGAUCGUAAAACUCUGUUAUUAGGGAAGAACAAAUGUGUAAGUAACUAUGCACGUCUUGACGGUACCUAAUCAGAAAGCCACGGCUAACUACGUG
rnacentral:rRNA from 1 species